CCAAGGAGUCUAACAUGUGCGCGAGUCAUGGGGUUCUGCGAAACCUAAAGGCGCAAUGAAAGUGAAGGCCGCCUCGGGUUGGCCUAGGUAGGAUCCCUUCCCUCCGGGAGGGGCGCACUACCGGCCCGUCUCGAUCUCGUUGCAGAUGAGGCGGAGCAAGAGCGUACACGUUGGGACCCGAAAGAUGGUGAACUAUGCUUGAGUAGGACGAAGCCAGAGGAAACUCUGGUGGAGGUCCGUAGCGAUUCUGACGUGCAAAUCGAUCGUCAAACUUGGGUAUAGGGGCGAAAGACUAAUCGAACCAUCUA
rnacentral:rRNA from 1 species